rnacentral:rRNA from 1 species
UACAGAGGGGGCAAGCGUUGUUCGGAAUUACUGGGCGUAAAGGGCUCGUAGGCGGCCAACUAAGUCAGACGUGAAAUCCCUCGGCUUAACCGGGGAACUGCGUCUGAUACUGGAUGGCUUGAGAUUGGGAGAGGGAUGCGGAAUUCCAGGUGUAGCGGUGAGAUGCGUAGAUAUCUGGAGGAACACCGGUGGCGAAGGCGACAUCCUGGACCAAUACUGACGCUGAGGAGCGAAAGCCAGGGAGCAAAGCGGG